CGCGGCGACGCGAGCGUUCCGCCGCUCGCGACGUCGCCAGAAGUCCACUGAACCUUAUCAUUAGAGGAAGGAGAAGUCGUAACAAGGUUUCCGUAGGUGAACCUGCGGAAGGAUCAUUG
rnacentral:rRNA from 1 species